CCCGGGAUAAGGAGCCGGCAUCAGGCACGAUAAUCUGCCCAAGACGCCUAGCUACGCCACCCCCACACGGGACUUCAGCAGUGGUUAACAUUGAAUAUAAGCGAUAGCUUGAUUCAGUCAGGGUAAAGAGAGCUGGCCAAUCUGGUGCCAGCCGCCGCGGUUACACCACGUGGCUCGAAUUGAUCCCCAUCGGCGUAAAGCGUGAUUUAAGUAACUGUGCCCAUUAGAGUUAAACUUGAACUAAGCUGUGAUACGCUUGCCACACGAGAAACUCAAAAACGAAAGUUACUCUAACUAUAUCCACUUGAACUCACGACAGUUGGGGCACAAACUGGGAUUAG
rnacentral:rRNA from 1 species